rnacentral:rRNA from 1 species
GCUCAGGACGAACGCUGGCGGCGUGCCUAAUACAUGCAAGUAGAACGCUGAAGAGAGGAGCUUGCUCUUCUUGGAUGAGUUGCGAACGGGUGAGUAACGCGUAGGUAACCUGCCUGGUAGCGGGGGAUAACUAUUGGAAACGAUAGCUAAUACCGCAUAAUAGCAGUUAUUGCAUGAUAACUGUUUGAAAGGUGCAAAUGCAUCACUACCAGAUGGACCUGCGUUGUAUUAGCUAGUUGGUGGGGUAACGGCUCACCAAGGCGACGAUACAUAGCCGACCUGAGAGGGUGAUCGGCCACACUGGGACUGAGACACGGCCCAGACUCCUACGGGAGGCAGCAGUAGGGAAUCUUCGGCAAUGGACGGAAGUCUGACCGAGCAACGCCGCGUGAGUGAAGAAGAUUUUCGGAUCGUAAAGCUCUGUUGUAAGAGAAGAACGAGUGUGAGAGUGGAAGGUUCACACUGUGACGGUAUCUUACCAGAAAGGGACGGCUAACUACGUGCCAGCAGCCGCGGUAAUACGUAGGUCCCGAGCGUUGUCCGGAUUUAUUGGGCGUAAAGCGAGCGCAGGCGGUUAGAUAAGUCUGAAGUUAAAGGCUGUGGCUUAACCAUAGUACGCUUUGGAAACUGUUUAACUUGAGUGCAAGAGGGGAGAGUGGAAUUCCAUGUGUAGCGGUGAAAUGCGUAGAUAUAUGGAGGAACACCGGUGGCGAAAGCGGCUCUCUGGCUUGUAACUGACGCUGAGGCUCGAAAGCGUGGGGAGCAA